rnacentral:rRNA from 1 species
UACGGAGGAUCCAAGCGUUAUCCGGAUUUAUUGGGUUUAAAGGGUGCGUAGGCGGUUUAUUAAGUCGGGGGUGAAAGACGGCAGCUUAACUGUCGCAGUGCCUUUGAUACUGAUGAACUUGAAUGUACUAGAAGUAGGCGGAAUGUGACAAGUAGCGGUGAAAUGCAUAGAUAUGUCACAGAACACCGAUUGCGAAGGCAGCUUACUAUGGUAUUAUUGACGCUGAGGCACGAAAGCGUGGGGAUCAAACAGG